rnacentral:lncRNA from 1 species
AUUUAGUUCUCCGAAGUCAGGGUGAAUCGGCCUUAUGUUCCUGCCUCCAGACCCUUUUCUCCUGCCUCCGUGGAAUGGAUGGCAGGACAUGGAAAAGUGUUUUGUCCAAAUGACAUGUCCAAGGGCACUGGCAGCUGAAGGCAAGAGGGAACCAGUUAGUGCCACGGAGGAAUGCCCACCCCCGUCUCCACACCGCACAGAACAAAGUGAGUGUCCUUGUCCUGAACCCUCUGAGAAGCAGCUCUGGAAUUUCAUUUAUUGGCAUUAAAAGCAGAAAAUGGUCCUAUAGAGCUCAAUUUAAUGGCAAAGAUUAAGGAAAGAAUAAAGACUCUGCCUAAUAAUGGUGACAUGAGCUGUUCAUAUUGUCAUUUUCUCUGGGACCUAAUAUGGGGGAGGAGGCGGGACCCCGUGUCGCCAGGCCCCAGGUGAUUUUCACACUGUUUCCCCAAAUCACUGCAGCCUCUUCCCUGCUGGUCCCUUGAUGCUGCUGCUGUGCCUGGCGUCCUGUGGGACAAGAGUGCAACAGGGCGCUGGGCACCUUGGCAGCUUCCAGUGGGAUAGGCCUGCGGCAUUCUGAGCCUGAAUGCGGUGAUCACCAGGAAGUAAGGAGACACAAGCAGGAGGGGUUCCAGGAUGGAGGGGCCACUUCUCAGGGAUCAGUCUCAGGCCCCAGUUGGGAAGGAUCCCCUUUCAGGACAAUGGCUCCAGGCCAAGGGCAACGCUGUUUCUGUGCGUCCUGAUGACUGACCUGCGUCCACAGGGAAGCGUAUCUGGGCUCCUUUUUUCCAGGCUGUGUUGGGAGCACCUUGAAAUGGGCACUGGUGGAUUUCAAUUCCAGCCUUCCGGAAGCCAUUCCAAAUGGAAACUGAGCUAAGGGAU